CGAACGGGUGAGUAACACGUGAGUAACCUGCCCCAGAGUGGGGGGAAACAGUUGGAAACGACUGCUAAUACCGCAUAAGCCCACGGAACCGCAUGGUUCAGAGGGAAAAGGAGCAAUUCGCUUUGGGAUGGACUCGCGUCCGAUUAGCUAGAUGGUGAGGUAACGGCCCACCAUGGCGACGAUCGGUAGCCGGACUGAGAGGUUGAUCGGCCACAUUGGGACUGAGACACGGCCCAG
rnacentral:rRNA from 1 species